GGUGAAAAGAGUGGGGAAAAGUGCGAAAAGAAGCAACAGUCGCUCCACCCGAGACCAGAAAAGUGGCCGGCCGCGUCCCUGCCGGCCGCCCUGCGCCGGGGAUGCAGCGGCCGCCGCGGCUAACGGUCCAGGGAGGCGGCAGGGGCGGCAGGAGCCGCUAGGCGGAGAGAGACCAGUGGUACCAAAGAGAACGAUGAUCAUUUCAUUGCUACAGUUUCACCAAAUUCUGCAGUCACAGAGUCAAGCAAGGAUGGUAUAGAACCAAGAGUUGUCCUCAGGACCCAUUUCAGCUUUUCAAAUAAAGCCUCCCAGGAGCUGCUGACUGGUUGUGAACAGAGUAUGGCUAUUUCUUUGACCUACAGCCCUGGCUUUCUGUAAUCCACAGAUUCUCAGAUGCUACUGUGCUAUUAGAUCUGACCAUGAGAUGUAAAAGUGGAAAUGGUGUGUGCAACAUUGAGGAAGUUCUUCAAAAGAAGAUAAUUCACCAUUCUUUCCUUCUUCCUGCUGGUUGAAAUUAGACCUGCUGGCUCAAGAUCCUUACAGAAGGCAGAGCAACAAGACUGAAAGAGCUGAGUCCUUGACACUGGAAUACCAAAAUCACCCUUGAAUUUCUACCUCCAUCCACUUUUACAUGGAGAGAAAUAAACUUUUAUUUAAGCUACAAUUAUCCUAGGUUUUCUGACAUAUACAGCCAAAAUUAUCUUGUUCAAUGUGGAUAUGUGUAUUAGCUUCCUACUGCUAAAGUAAAAAUAUUACCACAAGUUUAAUGGAUUAAAACAAAUGUAAUUCUAGAAGUCAGAGUACAAAAUGGGUCUCAUGAGACUAAAAUCAAGGUUUUGGCAAGAUGAGUCUACUUCAGAAAACUCUAGGGAGAGUAUGUUACUUUGCCUUUUCCAGCUCCUAGAGGCUGCUCACAUUCCUUGGCUCUUUAGCAUCUUCUUCCAUCUUCAAAGCCAGCAACAUCUGGCAGUCAUAUUGCCAACUCACUGUUUCUUUUAUACUGCCUCCCUCUUCCACAUAAAAAGGACUUUGCUAUUCAGUUGAACCCACCCAGAUAAUCAGGACAUCUUCCCAUUUUAAGAUCAACUGAUUAGCAAGCUUAAUUCCAUCUGCAAUUUUAAUUCCCCCUUGUGAUAUAACCUAACAUUCACAGGGUUGGGUGAGUAAGACAUGAACACCUUUGGGGGCCACUGUUCUGCCUACUACAGUGUACAGAUUUUUAAGUUUUGUGAUUCAGAAAUACGUUUUUACUUUAUGAUUUAUCUUUAAUACAUUUACAACUUAUAACCCUAUGCUAAUUAGUCAUUACUCUUUAUAGAACAUUUAGCAUUGUGCCCCAUAAUUUUUAAAUUUUAUAUAUGUGAAGGACAGGUAGUCUAAAAAUGAAUUAUAAUCUUUUCUAAAUUCACAGGGAAAGUGUAAGUAGGAUAUUUUCAGUAUUGAAUUUUUCUUCAUAUUUUUAAUAAUUUGCUUGCAGUUAUUUACUUCUCAUACAAGAUUCCAUGUAAGUUAAGAUAAAGUUCAAUAUAGAAUUAUUUUCAAGUGUAAAUUGUACGUAUUUCCUGGUGUUCCUCACUUUCCAAACACAUUUGAGUACAGCACUUUAUGAUCCUCUAAUCGUCAAAAAUUUUAAAUUGGUUAAUUUCAUGGAAAUCCAAAUAGUAUGUUGGUGUUACUCCUUCAUUCAAUGCCUAUUUUCAAUCCUAAAGCUUUAAUGGGGGUGGGGGUGAGAGAAUUAAAAGCUAGAAGUCACAGAGUAUGCAAAUCUUAAGGAUGGAACUAUAGUGCUUUUGGGGUGCAUAUCCAAUAGAAUUAAGCCCCACAUAGCUAAUAAUUCCCCCAUACUUUAGUUUGUCCAUGCCACUGAUAUAGCAUUUAUCCCUAUAUGUGGACUUUUGUUGAGAGCCACUGCCACAUCAGGAUGGUGCCUGGCAUUUUGCCAGAAGGAGUGGUUGGGAGGUGACGCCAGUGAGCCAUUAAGAUGAUAAUAAUUAAGUUAAGCUGUGUAUAAUUAUUAAGAUAAUGACUGAUUGCUGUAACUGGAUGAUGCUAAAGUGAAACAAGCUGUGUAUUCAGUUGGUAUAUAAACCUCUGCUGUCCAGCAAUAAGGCGGUUCCUGCUACCUCCGGCGCCCGCUACUUUUGAGUUCCCGUUGGUUCUCGCAGAGUUUCCUUGGAGUUAUGGAGAGUUCCCGUGGGGUUCGGGCAAUAAAGUAGUUCCUGUUUGAACCUACAAGUGGCUAGUGGCCUCUCAGUUAUUUGUGCCCAGCCAGACUGCAGGCAGUUUUUGUUUUGUUUACAUCAGGCCCCUCUCCUAAUUAUCUUUGGGUUUCUGUUACUGAAAGCAGUGCCCGUCCAAAACAUUCUUAAUAAUUAUGGAAAAGAGGGAAGGUUUCUUGUCAUUGAUGAAUCAUUACAGCACAGAAAUUUUGUGAAGAGCAAAUAGAAUAGGGUUUGCGGACUAUACCAUAUGUUAUCUGGCACUUGGUAAACAGUACAUGAAAGACAACAAAAAAUAAAUAAAUUCUUAGGCAAAGAUUAAAGUCAGAUGUAAAGGACAUAAUCACUAGAAUUCUUAUAUAGUGUCUUUCUCUUCAAAGCAAAAAAGAUAAUCUUUAUCCCUGAAAUUGUCAUUUAAAGCACAGGUAUAACUAAAGAACAAAAGAAAGAGAUGAUGUUAACAUGUUUUGCUUAGCAUUAGUUGGAAUAUUGUCUAAAAAUGUUAGCUUACCUUAGCUAUAUUAUUUAAGGAACUGUCUCUACAAUAAGUACACUUCCAACCCUAGGAAAAAUAACACUAUUUGCAAUGCAAUUAGCUAGCCUGUGGCACUUGCUAUUCUUAUACAGAUCAUUUUUAAAAUGCAAGUAAAGAUUAUGAAAGAAAUAUAAAAAUUGCCUUAGUGUUGUUUCUUGAUUUGCAGAUACCUAUUUGAACUGUAGAAGCAAAAAGUAGGAAAUUAUCAUAAAGAUAUUGGUGAUUUUUUUUUCAUAGAAUCCAAAAGUAAGAAUGAAGUCAGGUCUCCCAAAUGAAGAAUCAUGAAUACCUCUAAAUGUACAGGUGGUGCCUCUCCAUUUUUUGGCUCUUUGUGUUUCUGUUCCAUUUUGUUGGAAGGCCUACUGUUGUGCAUGAAGGUAGUGUGAGGAGACAGAUAAAUACCUGCUAUAACCAUUCCAUAGUGCUUAGAGAAAAAAAUCCUACAUCGAAAGUGUUAGUCAAUAAAAAUUCUGGUUUUUUUGUAGUUACAAUAGUCAGUUUUUCCAUAUACAUAUAAGAACAACAUAAUUUAGUAAUUUCCUUUAACCUACAUCCAUUUUCCUACAUAGCUACAUAACCUUUAUAUUUGUCCUUUUUUACAUGAUUGUAACAUUCAAGUUGAUAAGUGUAAUUUACUAAGCCAGGGUUCAUAUUGUUGAAAGUUUCAUUAUUUUUGCUUUAUAAAGAAUAAACACUAUUAUAAUAAA